CUAACUGCUGGACGGAUUUCAAGAUUGAACAGCACAGCCUAAUCCAGGUUUAAUUGGGUAUUCCAGCAUUAAAAUGCUAACCUCAGCGAGAUCCCACUGGUGCGGCUGUUCUGAUGAUGUCGAGGUCCUGUUCCUGUCUCAACACUCUGGGUGAUUCCAAUUUAGGCUCUUCUAUGAAGAACACGUCCUACCACCCAUCCAGCAUGUGUUUUCUCGAUGGCCCUGAAAGAUAUGGAUCCACCCUGCAUGUGAGACCCAGACACCGCUGUGAAGAUGGCGGCACACACAACGAAGACUUGGAGUCUGGCCAUUACUGCCCUUCUGUUCCCAUCUGCAGCAAACGGCGCACAGCGCUGACUUUAUAUACCGCAACGACGUGCAACCUUGGCGUUAUACAGGAAAUCUCCUCUAUACGUUAGCAGGACAAUCCUGAACUAUCCAUUAUCUUGAAGAUUAUUUAUGUGUUCCAUAUAUACUUCACACGGAGGGAAGAGAUUGAGGAAGUUGUAAGAAUCUACCAGUUAGAUAAAUAAUUUUUCAGCACACAAAUCAUUAUAAAAUCACAACUGUUUGGAAAAGAAGCCGACUGUGACCCUCUGGUAGACCCGCACCUAGGUGUAUAUAUAUAUCUUACAGUGGCCACUGCAAGUGAAAUGUAGCAUUACAUGUCCACCACCAGAAUGAAUGGCCUUCCAUGUAUGAAUGGUGGGACACAG